rnacentral:rRNA from 1 species
UACGUAGGGUCCGAGCGUUGUUCGGAAUUACUGGGCGUAAAGCGCGUGUAGGCGCCCUGCAAGUCGGAUGUGAAAUCCCACGGCUCAACCGUGGAAGUGCAUUCGAAACUGCAGGGCUAGAGUCCUGGAGAGGAAGGUGGAAUGCUUGGUGUAGAGGUGAAAUUCGUAGAUAUCAAGCGGAACACCGGUGGCGAAGGCGGGUCUCUGGGCCGAUACUGACGCUGAGGAGCGAAAGCGUGGGGAGCGAACAGG